GCCGCUAUAGCUCAGUGGCUAGAAUGUUGGUCUCGUAAUCCAAAGGUCGCGAGUUCGAAUCUCGUUGGCGGCA
rnacentral:tRNA from 1 species